CGGACGGGUGAGUAACGCGUGAGUAACCUGCCUUACACAAGGGGAUAGCCGUUGGAAACGACGAAUAAUACCCUAUGACAUAAACUCUUCGCAUGAGGAGCUUAUCAAAGAUUUAUCGGUGUAAGAUGGACUCGCGUCUGAUUAACUAGUUGGUGAGGUAACGGCCCACCAAGGCGACGAUCAGUAGCCGGCUUGAUAGAGUGUACGGCCACAUUGGGACUGAGACACGGCCCAGACUCCUACGGGAGGCAGCAGGC
rnacentral:rRNA from 1 species